rnacentral:rRNA from 1 species
GAUGAACGCUAGCUACAGGCUUAACACAUGCAAGUCGAGGGGCAGCAUGAACUUAGCUUGCUAAGUUUGAUGGCGACCGGCGCACGGGUGAGUAACACGUAUCCAACCUGCCGAUGACUCGGGGAUAGCCUUUCGAAAGAAAGAUUAAUACCCGAUGGCAUAGUUCUUCCGCAUGGUGGAACUAUUAAAGAAUUUCGGUCAUCGAUGGGGAUGCGUUCCAUUAGGUUGUUGGCGGGGUAACGGCCCACCAAGCCUUCGAUGGAUAGGGGUUCUGAGAGGAAGGUCCCCCACAUUGGAACUGAGACACGGUCCAAACUCCUACGGGAGGCAGCAGUGAGGAAUAUUGGUACAAUGGACGAGAGUCUGAACCAGCCAAGUAGCGUGAAGGAUGACUGCCCUAGUGGGUU